UAGCCAGAUGGUUUCCACAGAGAUCAAAAGAGCACUUUCGCUUUGCAUGCUCAUUUUGACGCUUCUCAUCCAUUUUCAACAUUUGUCACUAAGGUACACAUAUGUGGAAGUUCAGUGACUCCCCGAUGCAAUUUAUUAAAUGAGUUAUGGGGAAACAUGUUACUCAUAUCUUCUGCUCCAGUUGUUUCACCCCUGCAUCAUCUCAACACGAAAAGGCUAUACGAGUUGGACCCGGCAACAUCGGAGGGCGUAGCUCCUCCUUGAAGGCCUUGCCGUAAAAGAAAAGAAAGGAAAUGGCGACUUACCUGUAUGUUUCUUUUCUCAUAUUUGUCAUGGUUAUGCCAUUAUUUUCUACAUCAUGUACUCUGCUUGUAAGUAGAUGCGUUGGUCUCAUUGUGUUGUACCUUUCUCAAUAUAACUAGCAUGGUGGCGGCGGAAGUACUUCGUAUUUAUUAUUAUAUUUGUGCAUGUUUUUUUCUUUCCAUAACCCUCUCGUUGCAAAUUACACGUGUUUUAGACAUGGAUACAUCCAUAAAAGGUUAGCUGCUUUACUGUAGUUCUUUUUUUACCAAUU